CGAGUAAGCCGGGCAGCCGCGGGAUAGACUCCAAAGGGUUUAUCGUGAGGAAAGUCCGGGCUCCGCAGGGCAGGGAUAACGGGUAACACCCGCCGAAGGCAACUUCAGGACAAGUGCAACAGAGAUAUACCACCAGAGGGUUAUUUUGCAGACUGCAUCGAGUUUCGCUCGCGAAACUCGCAAGGACUGCGAAGCAGUCCUUUGGCAAGGGUGGAAAAGUGAGGUAAGAGCUCACUCGACGGCUGGAGACAGUCCGCCGCUGUAAACUCUAUCCGGAGCAACACCGUGGAGAGAGCAGAAUUUAAGUAUUCAAGGCCGGCCCGGCCGCUCUCGGGAGGUGGCUUGAGCCCAUCGGCAACGAUGGGCCUAGAUAGAUGGCUGCCCAAGAGUUUUUAUCUCGACCUAACGGUCUCGAUAAAACCUCUGGACAGAAUCCGGCUUACAGGCUUGCUCGUAAA
rnacentral:RNase_P_RNA from 1 species